rnacentral:lncRNA from 1 species
GGAGCGCCAGCGCAGUCAGUUCCGUGAGCGCGCGACAGUCGGUCGGCACUGCGCGCGCGCCGGUGCCUGCGGAGUGCCGUCCGCCGCCGCUCCGCCCGCGCUAUCGUUCAGUGUGCUUGUCGGAUGUUGCCGUGUGAUGCAGUGAGUGCGCACCGGCCGCGCGCCGGUUAUGUGCCGUCGCUUGUCCUCCCGGAGGUUGACCUUUCAAGGCAAUAAUAGAAUACGCAGACGUGGAUAUAAUUUACAUGUUUAAGGAAAAAUAAUAUAUUACUGUUAUUUUAGGAAUCCGAGCCCGCAUGUGAGAUAAUGACAACUACAGAUACAGAAGUCAGAAAUGACGUGUUGAAAGGUCACGCUGAAAGUGUGGCGCGAACGCGAUGCCGAUGCGGCGCGCACGAGGCAGGGCAGGCGCGGGCGACGUCGGGGGCAGAGCGGUUCCCGCCAAAACUCUGCGGCAGCGGCGCGAAGUGUCGCCAUUGGUCGGCUGCGCGGGGGCGCGGGCGGCGCGCAAGGCCGCCGGUUUUCCCGCCAACAAUGCCUAAUGGUGCAUUUGUCAAGGUGAGUUCGUUCACCGCCGACGCCGGCGCCGCUCUCCGCAGACAGUCGCCCGCUGCCGCGAAGGUCGACGGAACGCGCUGCGAAGACGCUCAU